CCUACGGGUGGCAGCAGUGGGGAAUAUUGCACAAUGGGGGGAACCCUGAUGCAGCGACGCCGCGUGAGUGAAGAAGUAUUUCGGUACGUAAAGCUCUAUCAGCAGGGAAGAAAAAAGGACGGUACCUGAGUAAGAAGCCCCGGCUAACUACGUGCCAGCAGCGGCGGUAAUACGUAGGGGGCAAGCGUUAUCCGGAAUUACGGGGUGUAAAGGGGGCGUAGACGGCAAUGCAAGUACGGAGUGGAAUGCGGCGGCUCAACUGCCGAACUGCGCGGGAAACUGGAUGGCUGGAGGGCAGGAGGGGUAGGGGGAAGGCGUGGUGUAGCGGGGAAAUGCGUAGAUAUCAGGAGG
rnacentral:rRNA from 1 species